CGGCGGACGGGUGAGUAACGCGUGGGUAACCUACCCUGUACACACGGAUAACAUACCGAAAGGUAUGCUAAUACGGGAUAAUAUAUUUGAGAGGCAUCUCUUGAAUAUCAAAGGUGAGCCAGUACAGGAUGGACCCGCGUCUGAUUAGCUAGUUGGUAAGGUAACGGCUUACCAAGGCGACGAUCAGUAGCCGACCUGAGAGGGUGAUCGGCCACAUUGAAACUGAGACACGGUCCAA
rnacentral:rRNA from 1 species